UGGACAGAUUAUUAUAUUCGACUGUAUUCACGGCGUGAAACGGGGGAUUACACUGUUUUUAAACGGAAAGUGAAUCAAUUAACAUAAUAGACUCCU
rfam:Nicotiana sylvestris Nsyl_contig77692, whole genome shotgun sequence.